CUUUUUUUUUCCUGAAAGUCUUUUGAUGAAAAUGGGUAUUAUCGAUGUUUACAAGAAUGCUUACCUCUUUGAUGUAUUCCAAAAGUUCUUGAUCAGAUGAGAAAAGUAACAUCUGUCGGGCAUCGUUAAUUGAAAGAUAAUCAUAUGCCUUCUCACUGCAUCCAGCUAUUUCAUCUCUGAAAAUGACACGUUUAUGAAUAAACAACAAUACAACAUAGAGCUGAUUAUACGAAACUGAUGUUGGAAUGAUCUUAGAUUCAAAAUGGUCACAAAUACAACCAUAAUUUAAAAGACAGUCUACCAUGCUUUAAUAUUGUUAUCCCCCAGAAAACUGUCACAUGAAAUACAAUUGCUUACCUCACUGUUUUUGCCAAGAGAUCCAUGAAAUAAACAUAAGUUUCAUGAGGAGCAUUUUGUCUAGCACUCAGGACACGAUUGUAAGCCCCUUCCAUGAAGGAUUGCUCCAGCUCCACAGCAUGCUUGAUGCAAGGAUUCUCCAGGGCAGUGGCCGAAAGCAGUUCCAGUUCGGUAUGGAACUCAGCAAUUCUGUUCUGGACAAGAAGUCUCAAGAGAUUAAGACCUAGAAUCAGGUACUCUUGCUGGGAUGGUGGAAGACGGCUACUGCUCCAUCAGGAAAAAAGAAAAAUAAUUACCAUCAUUUCCUUAAUCUGAAUAAUAGAGGCUUCUACAUAAGAAAUUUAUUCGCACAUAAGAGUACACACAUUAAAAGGAGUGGAAGUUUCCUUAAGACAAUUUGUUCAUAGGCCAAGAGUUAAAACAAAUCCAAUACCAUCACACUCAUACAAGACACAAAAUCCAUUUUAAUUUCUUUAUGUAUUAAAAGUCUUACAACAUAUAUAUACACACACAAAAAAACACUUUUAACUUGAUUUUCUAAUUAGAAGAAUCGAUAUCCAUAUUUUACUAAUGGUUAGGCAGAGCUUUAUAGAAUGCACCUUUUAUAUAUUCAUCUAUCUUAACAGCUAGAUAGAAAGGGGAGGAAAUUAUAUCGAGAAGAAAAAAACUAGACCUGGAAAGAAAAUUAGAUAUACUGCACAACAGCAACAGCAACAACAAAGGUAAUAGACAUAAUUCCCAAACUACAGAGCAAAAAACCUUAAGCAUAACCCUAAAAAGACAAGCAACUAACCCAGCAUCCGUAUAAUAGGGCUUCAACUGGAAAAAGUCCCUCUCAAAGGCAUCUUGAUCCUCAAUCUUAACACUGAGGACAACAGCAUGUUCGUAAAUUUCCCCUGAAAUUAUCAGUGAAAAAAUAAAAGCAAUAAUUAAAGAACUGGUAAUCGAUAAUCUUCAGACAAGCAGAGAUUCAAAUUCUUAAUUCUAUUCAAAUGGGUUAAAAAUAAAUUCAUAUAGAAGCUGCAACAUGCUAAAAUGUUUAACUGUUGCCCCCACUCUUCAUUUUUUCUUGAUAUAUCCCUGUCUAACACAAGUCCAAACAUGGGUAUGAGGAUAUAACCCUCCAAUAACUCUCUGAAUACAUGAAAAAACUUGGCAGAAAAUUCAACAUACCCACAUCAGAAAAUUCAACAUUAACAUCCGAGUCCUAGUAACAUAGAUUUAACUACAACCAUAGGCACACAAAAGAAAAGAAGCUUAGUGAUCCCAAUAAAUGAACCAACCUUCCAUGUUCCUAAUCAUAUUUGAGAUAUGUCCUCACUACGGAACAAAGCUACAUCUAAUAAGUUACAAUAUGUAUAAGUGCUGAGGUUUUUUCAUAUAGAAUCCUUCAAAAUAUGUGAAAGCUAGUGCUUGAUGGACCAACAUAGAAAUAAAAUAAAAAUGAGAAAGCAAAACAAUGAACUGGGUCAUAAGAAUUACUUGCUAAGAGCACUUCGUUAACCGAAUUAGGGGUGUUUUCAAAUAGCGGAGGAAGGCUCCUAAACUUUGUCAGCAAAACCUGCAAUAAUAAAAAACCCAAAAUCACUUGAGCAACAUUUCAAACGCAUCAAUUUCAUCGAUCCAAUUUCCCGAACUCAAACACAGCAGCUAAUUCAAAUAUCGCAAACAAUAGAAACACAACAAAACCCCUAAAAUCCCUAAACCCUGAACAAAAUCAACCAUCCAAAUAAACUAACGAUCUAAAAAACGGGAUCCAUCAUCUCGAGACGAAUAAGAGCCCUAGAAUUUUAGCCCGAAUAGAGAGAAUGGAUUAGGGUUUGAACAAGUUCAAAACAAAUAAAAAAACCUUGAGUUGAGAAAGGAGAUUGGCGCAUGAAUCGAAAUCUUUUCUAAUGAAUGCAGCUUUGAAUCGCUCGAACAUCUGCGACACUUCAGUUAGCUGUGGAUCCAUUUUUUCUCUCUCUCGCAAGCUUUCGUGUUGCCGAAACAAUGGAAAAUUCCUUUUCUAUUUUUCACUUACAGCAUAAUAUAUAAAGCAAAAAAAAAAAAUUGGAACUCGGCUUUUUCUUUUUCUUUUCCGAUUUUACCUAAACCGGUCCUGUCGGUUGGAAUUGCGCUGAUCAGAUUGGUCGGGCUGUGGUUUUUUUAAGGAUGGGUUCGAGUUAAAGGGAUCAUCGCCUAAGGCCCAGUUCCAGAAAAAUUUCUAAGUCUAGCUCUGUUUUCGAGAUAGUCAGACACUAAAAAAACUCAUUUUAUUAUUUAAAAAAUUGAUAUUUUAUAUAUUUUUUAUAUGAUCCAAGUUGGGUCGGGUGAGCUACCCAAUCCUUGGACAGGUCUUAGUUCGAAUUGAAUCUAUAUAAGUUAUUAAUAUUAUAUAUAAUUAUUUAUAUCUGAUUCAGUUUGAAAUAUGGAUUGCAAAUUUUUUAUUUUUCUUUUUGGAAAUUUACAAGUACAAGUACAUAUACAAGUAAAAUUACAAUGUGUAGAAUCAAACUUUUACAGCACAUAUGAACUAAGUGUUGUUUUAUAAACUCGAAAAUUUAGGUGUUGUUUAAUAAACUAGAAAAUUAAGGGUUGAAAAUCUAUGUAUUGAAAAUUAAACAUUGAAUUCAAGUUAUAAAAUUUGUUUGAUAUAUUUCUUAAAAUUAAAAUUAAGUAUGGAAUAUGAUUAGUUUGUUUGAAAAAUGAAAUUUUUAAAUUUUAAAGGUAAUUUAUUUAAAAAAUAAUGUUAAAUAAAUGAGAUAAUAUAAUUUUUGGCCACUAAACUUGACAACUAAGUUCAUUUUGGUACUUAUACUUUUUUUGUCCACUUUGGUCCUUAAACUUGAAAACUAGAUCCAUUUUGAUCCCUUAACUUAGAUUCUGUCAAGAUUUGAUGAUGUGAUCAGUGUUACUGGAACAAGAUCAAUAUAAUGGUCCAAAUAAAGGAGUUCAACAGAUUAACUAGAAAAUUGCUUGAAAUUGAUAAAAAUCGAAAUCGAGAUAAAAAUCGACAAUUGAACAAGUUAACUUAGUUUAAUAAUUUUAUUAGAGUUUUUUUUAUGAAUUUUUAAUUAUUUAUUUAAUUAUUGUUGGUCUGACAAUUGAACCGAUUGAACUGAUUGAAUCAAAAACUAAUGAUCUGGCUUAUUCAAUCAUCGAUCCGAUUAUUAAAAUAUGGUAUGUGACACAAUCUAAGAUUGUCACAUACCAUUAAUGAAAUCAAAUGUUUUUUUUAAUGAAAUCAAAUGUCUAAUACAUAAUAAUUAAAAUAAAUGUUCAGGUUCAUAAAACAUGGAAAAUUAAACUUUAAAAUAAAACUGAUUCAAAGUUUAAAAAAUCAUCAUUUCAAAUUUGGAUCUAUAUAAAAUUUUCUACCCAUGCAUUUAAAAAUAACCUAUUCAUUCAUUUAAUUAAAAUAAAUCAUGAGUUGGGUCGAUAUAAAAUUGUAGGUCAACUUUUUAGAUUCGUAUUUAGCCCGAAAAAUGAAUCUAAAAUUUUGUUGAAGCCUGACCCAUAUUAAAAAUAUUAAACCCAAGUCUGAUCCGACCGUAACAAAAAGAAACAAAUUAUUUUUUUAUAUAAAAGAAAUUUAAAACAUAUAAUACAUCACACUAAAAAUAUUAAGAAAAAACAGCAUAGGCAUGUGAUUUAGGUUAGGCCUGAGUAAAAAAAAAAUUUACCCGAAACUAAACGGGUCUUAAUUUUUAACUAAAUUUAUUUUUCGAACCUAUAUUAUUAUUGAGAUAUUCCCACUUUUCUAACCAGCCAGAUAAUUCUAAGCACGAUUAAUUACAACUCAAUUAUGAAAUAUCCAAAAACCCAUUCAACUUACAUAAGUUAUUUUUGGGACAAAUUUCAUUUAAGAAAAUUGGGUAAAAAAAAAAGUUAUACAAAACCAUGAGCUGGUCAAACAAGUCAAGAGAACAAAUUAUCUUCAUUAGAUGUGUUUCUUGCAGCAGUGAACAUAAUCUCACCAUAUGAUUAAAUCUCUUGUCAGAAUUUGUAAAUGUAAUCACAAUAAAUACAAGGGCAUAAUAGAGCUUUUCUUCUUCAAUCUCUCUCACUUCCAUUGGUUGUAAGAAAAGAAAAAUGUUUACCUCAUCCAUGAAUCAUCCAAAAACACUUCAUUUUUUCAGGAUUAUUCUGUCCCAAACUCAAAAGCUUGUAAUAACCCUUCCUCUUCUUUGCUUCUUGGGUUUCUUUGUUUCUGCUUUGGUUCUUUCUGCUAAUUCUAAUUUAUCUGCAUUUUUUUUUUCUGAAUUUUCUGAAAUUGUUGCAGCCCUUGCCGAAAAGGUUCGAUAGUUUAUACGGAGACGAUCUAUCGAAUACCGUAAUCGUUAAAGCUCCGACGGGGCCAGAAUGGAAAGUAGAGUUGAUGAAAUGUGAUGGUGAGAUUUGGUUAGCUAAUGGUUGGAAAGACUUUGCGGAUUAUUUCUCUUUGAAGUAUGGGAACCUAUUGAUCUUUAGAUACGAAGGUCAUUCGCGGUUUUACGUGUUCAUGAUAUUUGAUCAGACUACAUUCGAAAUCGAAUACCCGAACGGUAUCGAUAACCAUGAUGUGGAGCUCCAAAUACCGGACGUGGAAGAAGUCGGGAGUGAGGAUGUGGUUGAAAUAGUCAACAACGUAUCGCCACCCCGGAAAACAACGGAGAAAACACGUUCUUCGCCUCGUAGGAGAACAAGAAUGCAGGGAGCUACGAAUGCGAAAAAAUCGGAGUUUCGAAUGUCAAGCAGAGAUGGAAGUAUAGAAUAUAUGAUGAUAUAAAUUUACUGAUUUAAUAUGUUCUUUUUGAGCUCAGAUUUUGUUCACUAUUCUUUCGAAUUUGAUGUUACUCGACAGGUAAAAUCGGUCCGGAACAGGCUGGUGGAGGCACGUCUGCUGCCCAGAGAUCAUCGGCAUCGUCAGCUAACCAUUUUGGAUCGGAAAAGCCAUUCUUUGUAGUUAAUAUACAGCCAUCGUACAUUACCGCAUUUCAUGCUGUAAGCUCUCCCCUGACGCAUUGGCAUUACAUAUUGAAUAUCAAUUGAAUGAAAUCGUUUCGAGCUAAUAAUUGCAGAAUGUUCCAUUUACGUUCGCGAGAACUUAUUUCACUUGGAAGGAGGCCGAUGUUAUCCUUAAAGAUCGAGACGGUAGAACUUGGCCUAUUCAUCUCAAAGUAUACAAUAAAUAUCAUUGCACAAGCUUUGGCCGUGGUUGGAAGGCAUUUGCAAUCGACAAUGAUUUACGAGUAGGCGAUUCUUGUGCCUUUGAACUGCUAGAGAGACCCGAAAUAUCAUUUAGGGUCACUAUUUUCCGGAACCCCGAAGAUUCAAAUGAUCGCCAUACUAGCAGUACGUACAAUACCUACAAGCAUUACUAAGUUAAAGAUUUGUAUGAUUUAGUGACAUCUAUGUAUGUUUUUACUAUGGCUGAUCCGCGGUUCAGCUCGUGGGAGUAAAAUAGGUCAUGGUCGGCACAAGAGGGAAUUGAAUGCUCGGAGUCAGAUUGAAUAUGAUCAUUCUAGUGAAGAUGAAAUGAUUAGAUAUUCAAAGAGGAACAAAGGAUCUCAAGUUCCGAGAAGAAAAAUUAAGACCAGAGAUGGUAAGUCAUAAGAGAUCGAAGAAAUUUCCGGAGUGCUAUUGAAUCAAAAUUGCACCUAAUGUUCUUACCUGCAGGAAAGUUCGAUGAGGCGAUGCAGAAUAAGACUUCAGCACGGCGAGCUAUUCAAAGGCUUCCAAGCAAAGGAACUGCCAUUGCUAGAGCUCUUGAAAGAGUAAGCAAACUCAGGUCGGCUCAUCCGUUGUUCAAAGUCAUUAUCACAACAAAUUUUCUGCAGAGAGGGUUUCCGGUAAAGAUCUUUUCCCCGUAAAUUUGCAUAUUUAGCUUCAUAAAGAUAAAAAGGAACAUAAAACUUAGCUUCAAUGCAUGCAGUCCUUUGAAUCUCGAAAUAUCGAAUGUUACGAUCAUAUAAAAAUCUACUAUUUACUUGGGAAGCAAGAAACAAUCAGACAUCAAUCUAAGAAACCAGCAUCCAACUUGGCUUCAAUGCCUGCAAUCAGUUGAUUCUCGAAAUAUUGAACAUUUCGAUCACAUCAACAUCUCUUACUUGCUAAACAAGCAAGCAUCAAUCAACCAUACAGCUUAGCUUCGAUGCAUGCAGUCAGUUGAAUCUUAAAAUAUCAAACAUUUUGAUCAUAUUAGCAUCUGCUAUUUACUUGGGAAACAAGAAACAAUCAGACAUCGAUCUAAGAAACUAGAAUACAACCUAGCUUCGAUGCCUGUAGUCAGUUAAAUCUCAAAAUUUUGAACAUUUCGAUCAUAUCAACAAAUACUAUUUACUUAGGAAGCAAGAAUCAGCAUUAAAUCUAAAAAACUGACAGUUUAUUAGCUUCGAUGCCAUCAGUUAAAUCUCCAAAUAUCGAAUGAACAUUUUCAAUCAUAUUAACGUAAACUAUUUACUUAUGAAGCAAGAAUCAGCUAUCAAUCUAAAAAGACUCGCAUACAACAUUGCAUCAAUGGUGCAUCAAUCUCGGUUUUCUUUCCUUUUUGUUCACUAUCUAAGCAUCAUCAACCUUAUGCAGAGCAUCCCAGAACGCUUUUGCGACGAACACAUGGAGCAAAUUCCAGCAGAUGUGACCCUUAAAUAUAAGCAUAAAUCAUGGCGUGUAAGGAUGAUUAUUUGCUCGGACAGGGCAGGCCGAUUUAGCGUCGGCUGGCGGGCAUUUGUACAGGGAAAUAAGCUCAAAGUUGGAGACGUUUGUGUGUUUAAGAUGAUCAAGAAAACAAAUAUUGUUUUCGAAGUCUCCAUUUUCAGAGAUGGUUUAACUCUUGGUUGAACAUCUGCUAAGAUUCACCAUGAAUAUGUGACUCGUUUUGUGACUCAGUAAUGUAUGGAUAAUGUACCGAGUUAGUUUUGUUUGUAUAAAAAUUUGUAUGACGCAGUAGAUGUCUCAGUUUAUGCCUUCUCUUCUUGCUUGAAUUUGCUAGCUGAUUUAGUGUGUAAAUGGCAGGAUUGACAGUCAAACCGAUCAUAUUACCAAUUCUCAAUUCAACCAUAAAAAUUUUAAAACUAAAAAAUAGAAAAAAAAUUGAUUAAACAGGUUUUUUAGCCUGAUUUUGAGUGAUUUUACAAGUUAACCGAUCUAACCCUUUUUUUGAAUUGAUACCUCAAUUAGUUUCUGAUCCGAUCAAUUAGUCUAGUCGAAUUUAAAUACCAUUAGAAAUCUAGUUCACUAUAAUAAUGUCAAUAUCAUAAGUUUCUUAUUUUAUUAAAAGGAAAAUUAUACAAUAAACAAAAAUAACACAAUAAAGGGAAAUUAUACGCAUCAAAUAACUUCAAUGAAAACAAAUUACAGAUGUCUUAUAUUGAUUUUUUUUUUCAUAAAUUUAUUGGAAAAACCUUCAAUAAGUUCCUCUGUGUUAAUUUUUGCUUAUAAAGUUUAAAAGAGUAAAAAAUGGGUCAUAUAUUAUUCAAAAAGAUUAUUUGAAAAUGUUAAGCUCAAUAAUAAAUUAAGUGAUGACAUACUGUAUAUUAAAAUAUUAAAAUUUUAAUAUAGUAUUGAGUGACAUUGUUAAAUUAGAUAGGAUAUUGAAUCCUUUUGAACAAUUAAUAUAAAUGAGAAUAGGCAUAAAUCUUAAAUUAAUAUAAAUUUCAUAUGACUAAUACCGUUAUCCAUAUAGUAUUAUUUUAUGCUUACCUAUUAAAUAUACAAACAAUUAUAUUUUCUCAACAUAAAUAUAAUUAAUUUUUUUAAUUAAAACAUAAUCCUUCGACUAAAAAAAAAAAAAAAAAAAAGAGAAAGCAACUUAACUUGAUUAUAUCCUUUAAUCCAUUCAAGUAUUUUAAACAUUUCUUUUUUGUUUUUCUCCACAUAAAAUUUAUUUAAAAUUGCUUAUUUGUUUCUCAACUUAAACUUAAAGUGGCACAUUUUGUAAAAUUCAAUCAAAAUACAAAUUUCUCUCAAAAAACAAAUCAUUUGUGCAUACAUACAGCAAAUCAAAUUUCUUAUAUAACAUUACACAAAAUUUAUGUAUAUUUUGAGAAUCAUCCCAAAAAUAUUUUUUUUUUCUAAACUUUGUAAAAAUUUAAAAAAAAAAAUUGAAAAAUAGUUGAAACGAUUUGAUUUUUUUUCUAGAUAAGUGAUUUGAGGAUUUUAUUGAACUCUAUAUAGAUUUUAUUUAAAAAGUUACAAAUUAAUCAUAAUUUUUGUCCAACAUCGAACAGAAAUUUCAUCAUCUAAGCCUCACAUCAAAGUUCAAACUACAUGCUAAAUGCUAUGAAAUGAAACAUUUUCUAUCAUCAGGAAAAACUCAGAACUACAAUAUAUACAGUACAGACACUGAUGGCAAAUGGAGUAAAAACUGUUUUUCGAGAUUAGGAAAAAGGGGGAGGGAGGUGUUCAGACUCAUUGGACCAUGGCAAGGCGAGAAUCAUACCUGUAUAUUUCCAAGACCAUCUUGUCAUUUCUCCUCAAACUCGACGUCGAUAAUUUCUGGUUCGGACUUUCUUGAACCGGUGCGCCUACUAUCUCUGCCAAAGAAGUCUCCUUCUGGUUGCCAUACAAUGUUUCCACAGCUUGCACAGCGUAUCAUUUGGUUUUUAUAACCAGCAAACUGUUUCCUACAAGCUGGACAAGCACCCUGUCCGAUUUUUAUCAUAAAAAAGGUCAGUUUGCCAUUUUAAACGAUGUUUUAUUGGUAAAAUAAAGUUGGUUGAAUGUAAUGAACAAAAUUCUGCAAUGAAGAAGGUUUUAAAAAAUAUUUGGAAUGGUAUCGUGAAUAUAUGCACCCUAGUUUGCUUCUGCAAUCAAAUUCCCUUUUCAAACCAUAUACAAAGUCAAAAAAUCUACUCAAAUACAAUACACCAUUCUAGUAAAACUAGCACUAUCUUAUGCCCCAAAAUCAUCCUAUACUUGAAGAACUCACUAGCAUAACAUGCAAGAAGUUGCAAUCUAAUUUAACUGUAAUCGUAAAAUAUAUAGUUUAAGAAGGAGCUACUUUAACUGUAAUCAUCAGAAUAGCAAGUACAAUAAAUGGAAGACUAGACUUUGAGUUUAACCCUAUUGUUCCAUAUGUUACGGAUAGACACUACGUAGUAUCACCUUUUACGGGGAUGAAAAGCAAGGAAAAAUAAACAAAUUUUACAAAGAAUCACAUAUGUUACAGAAAGUCAUCGCUUUUAUCUUGCAUUUAUCUGUGCCAUAUUAUAGCAAUAAGUGAUAGCUGAUACCUUAAUAACAAGACUAUUGGCAAUAGUCCCGAUGAGAAGAGGCCCAGCAAAUGGUAGUAUCCACAUGGCAAAUAUUAAGAAUCGAAAAAGCCAACCGGAUAAUGCAAACCAGAGGAAGAAAAUCAUCUGCAGAUGGAUGAAAAAAACUCUACAUAAAAUGAGGUAGCAAACGAACUAUAACUAAUUACCAAAGCACACAAUACAAUAUAUCCAGAUCCUAUCCAAGGUUAAGAAUUUCAAAAGAAAUUCACUCUCAUUUUCUCCGCACUGAAGCAAAACACCUUUAAAAGAUUAAAUUUAUAGGAGAAAGAUUUGGGGAAUGAGAAUCAUAAGCAUAUUACCCAGAACAGAUUAAUAUACGCAGAACCUAACUCAAAUGCAAGGCCACCUAUACAAACUUGUGUACAAGUAACAUGACAUGUAAAACCACAUAACACUCACCUUACAUUUAGGCCCAAAACAACAAAUACGAAUAAUAUGAAUAUCCCAUGGAUUCCAAAAUGAAGGCAACUAGCAACUUGGACAUAUUAACUAUUCAACCAAAACCUGACUUACAGUAGACAUAAAGCUCAACUUGGAUACAAGCAAUCUUAAAACCCAAUGACAAUGAUGUCAGAUAUCCGCUGCUUAAUAGACAUAAGUUGUUCAUCCUCUUUAAUUCAUAAGAGAUAAUGAAAACAUGAUAUCGAGUAUUGCAAAUCAAACCCCUUUAACUUUUAAGGAUUUUUUUCCUCACUACAACCCAUGUUAACAUCAUAUUUCUUUCAUACUAGAAUCACUGUUAAACCAAAAACAAAAGGGGGGUGGAUGAACAUAUGGUUUAGUUAUCAUAAAUGCUCUGCAGAAAUUUUUUUCUUUUGGCUAUGCUUUCUAGAUUUCUUGGAUAUAAAAUGCAAUGAACAUUUCGAAAGAUAAAACAUUCAAGGAUACAACUUUCAUGGAAAUAAAAAUGCAUGACUUACUUCAAAUUAAAGAACAAUCUUUGGAUUAAUCCUUGUAUCAUAGCAAAAUACACAAUUCUUUUUAUCAAAUUAGUACAAAAUUUUGAAGUUCGCUAUUUCUUUUGCAUUAUUGGAGUUCUUUUAGGAGCAACAAGUAACAAAGAAAUGGAGCCUACAAAAAUAACUCAAGAAAAUAAGUAAAAUUGAUAUUUGGCCUAAUCUUACUUACAGCAAAACUUCUUCCUAAUGGAGUUUCUAAGAAAUCAUUCAGCUGCUUCCUGUACUGCAACCAUAUCCAAAAAAUCCUCAAACAAAAUGUUAGUAUAAAAAUUCCAAAUGAAUAAAAGAAGUUCAAUUCUAGACCAAGAAAUAAAAUAAAACACGAACCCUAGGCCAAUUCCUACGAAAAUCCAUAGUAGAUGUUCGCCAACGGAUUCCAAUCUCGAACUCCCGGUCGAGCUCACGAGCACGGUCAGUGGCGGAUUGAACGACGGAGGAGAUUCGGCGGGAAACGGAGUACUGGCGGUCUAACCGUUCAGCGGUUUUUUUAGCUUCGAAGACGAAUUGCUCGAAGCGGUCGUUGGCCGUUCGCCAAGCGUCCUUCAAGGCCUCGCCGGAGGCCACGCGGCGAGCGAAGGUGUCGAAGUCGCUCCGCCUAAAGGAUUGGACUAUUAAAGGACGCCGCCGCUGAGGAAGCGGAGGCCGUCGCUGAAGCGUCAUCGAAUGCCAUGCCGUCGACGGCAGAGCUGUAGACAUCACUUAGAAUUUCAGAUUCUUUUUCUGUUUUUCUGGCUUUCCAUUUUUAUAUUCAUUAUCAUAUAAAAUUAUAUUUUAUAUUUGUUAUCGAAUUAUUUAUUUAACAAAGUAUUUUAAUAAAACUAUUUAUUAAUUAAUUAUAUCUUCUUUUAUAUUUCCUAUCAAAUUUAUUUUUUUAACAAAGUAUUUUCAUAAGAUUUAUUAAUUUAUGAAUUAGAUCAUUUUUAUUAGUAAUAAAUUUUUUUGUCAUAUUAAAAGUAAUGCAUAGAAUAAUGUUUUAAGUAUAUCAAUUAAACUUAUUUUCUAAUUUUUUUUAAAUAAAAGAUUUAUUACUGCAAUUCUCUGGUAAUAGAAUACAUCCACAAAUAUAAAUACAUAACCGAGCAAUUACACUAUAGAAUCAAACUAAUAUAAAGUACAAUAAAUUAAGAAGUAAAAAGAAUCGAACAAAAUCCAUACAUAGCAUACGCGCAUAAUAUGAUUGAAGAAGCAUAUGUGACAAUUAUGCACAGUAAUACUUGAAUUUGAUAUUUGUAAUGUUUCAAAAUAUUUUUUUAUAUUAUAAAUAUCCGAGCCUCAUCAUAUGCAAUUGAUUGAAAAUAACUUUAAACUCAAUUUGAUUGUAGUAGAAAAUUAUCUAAACCCAAACUUAACCCGAAAGAAAACAUAUAAAAAAUCUUUAAAAAACCCCCAAUUAAGCUAAUCUAUCAUCUCAAAGGAUGUCAAUUAAGCCUUAACUUAAUUGAUAAAAUAGUUAUUACAAUAAUUAGUAAGACACAAUUUAAGGGUUGAAAGAUUAUGCCUAGAAAUAGGUAUUCUAUAAAAAAAGAAAAUGUAAUUUUGACCCAUAAACUUGAUAAUUAGGUUCACUUUAGUACCUGUAUUAAAGGGGAUAAUAAAAUUUUUGGUCUACUUUAGCACUUCAACUUAAAUAUUAAGUCAAUUUUGGUUCUUAAACUUGUAAAAUAUAAAGUGUGAUGAGUUAACACUCUGAGAUUGUACCACAUUAUUACUUAAAAUUUUAUAUAAUUUUUUAAGUGUUUAUGUGGUAUAAUUUUAAUGUCACGUUCAGUAUUUUCAUAAUUAGACCGGUGAUUGAACAAGUUAGAUCAUUGAUUCUCAAUUCAAUAAGUUCGAUCAACGAACCAAAAAUAAAUAAUUAAAAAUUCAUAAAUUUUUUUAAAAAAUAAAAAUUAUAUCAAAACUGAUUCAAUCUAUUUAACUGUUGAUUUUUUUUAAAAAAAUUUAGUUUUUAUUAAUUUCAAAGAAAAUUUUCGAACCAUUAUCGGUCCGUCAACUUUCAAAGGCGUACUGUAUAAAUUAUCCAAAAAAAUUAAAAGAAAAUUAAAAAUAAAUAAAUAAAAAAACGACAUCAUAAACACAGUCUCGCGGAUCUUUGAACAAUUUUCCCUGUUUAUCUCUAUUUUUUCUCUCUCUCUUCCCGCCCUGAAUUUUCUGAACCUGUUUAUCUUAUAAAAAUUUUAAAUUUUCUUUUUAACCAAACAUGAGCAUUACGCAGUUCGCAAUGGUAAACUUCUUCCUCUUAAACUGUCUUUUUUUAAAAAAAAAAAGUCUGGAAUUAUGUGUAAGUAGUUGAGGUGUUUUCUUUUUGGCUUAAUUGGAACAUAAAUUCGUUGAAGCAGUCGAUAAUCAUCAAUUUUCGCUUUCUGGGUAAUUAUUAUUCACCCAUAAUCAUUGAUUUUUAGUGUGCAAAACUGAAAAUUUUGUUCAUGUACUUAUUGUUUGAAGUCAAUUAUUUACUGAAUAAUUGAAUGAGUAAAAUUAUAUAUUUUGCUGUCUCUAAAGUUGAAUUUUUGUUCUUCAUCGAAUUAUGUAUAAAUAGUUUAGGCUUGAAGCACUUGAUAAUCAUCAAUUUUCGCUUUCUGGGUAAUUAUUAUUUACUCAUAAUUAUUGAUUUUUAGUGUUCAAAACUGAGAAUUCUGUUUAUCUAGUUAUUGUUCGAAGUCAAUUACUUACUGAAUAAUUGAAUUAGUAAAACGAUACAUUGUGCUGUCUCAAAAGUUAAUUUUUUUUUGUUUUUCAUCGAAUUGUGUCUAAAUACUUUAAGGCUUGAAGCACUUGAUAACCAUCCGUUUUCGCUUUCUGGGUAAUUAUUAUUUACCAUCAUUGUUGAUUUUUAGUGCUCAAAAACUGAAAAAUCUGCUUAUUUUACUGAAUAAUUGCCAUCUCAAAGUUAAUUCUUAAAAGUUGCAUAGAAAUUAUAUAGACCAUUUGCUUUUGGGGGUUUUCCAAAAGUAAAUUUUUGGUGGACUAAUACUGAGAUGCAGGUGGAGGAACUGGCGUUUCUAGUUAAGGACAAUCUUCCUUGCAAGCAUCUAGUUCUGUCAAUGGAGGAGGCUUUUAUGAAUUUCCUUCAGGAUGAUACAAGGUAACUGAAUAACCUCACAUCCCAACACAACAAAAUUGUAGGAAGUUCAUUUAAUGUACAAGUCUCAUUCAAUCAUGAUCAUUAUGAAUGAAAAAAGUGUUGGAUUGCAGCUCAGAUGGGAUCCUAGAGUUGGAACCUAUGAAUUCAUACAAUCGGCUUCUCCUGCAUCGUCUUGCAGAUAUAUUUGGGUACUUCUCUUUUUUUUACUAGAUAGGCUGAUAAAAUGCAUCAUCAGUUAAAUCGAAUUUGGAGCUGUAGAGCUUUCUUAGUUAGCUUUUAGUAUUGAUGUUUUGUUAAAUUGGCUAGAUUUGCUCAUGAAUCAAUUGGUGAAGGAGACGAUCGGCAUUUGAUUUUGCAACGAUGCCCAGAGACAUCAAUGUACGGAAUUUGUUUGCUUAUCGUUGGUUUUUGGAAAAUUUAGUUAUAGCGGUGCUCAUGACCUGGCAGCAUUUUGUCUUGCAGACCUUCCAUUCUUGUUAGUGAUAUACUAUGGCAGUGUGAUGAGCCUCAGUCUCUCACAGCAUCUCGCCAUAUAUUAACAAGAGAAGGAACUAAACCAGGUGAAGUUCAUGUUCAUGAUUUCCCUAUUGAAGCAAGAAGUCAUUGGCAAUUUUUAAGAAAUAAGAAUAACAUGUAUAGCUGAGAAUAUCUAUUUUCUUUACACUCUUUUCUAUGGGCUAGUUAUAGAGGAUUAGUAAGCAACUAAGCAUGCCAUACAAGUUACUAUGGGCCUUUUCCCAUUUGGAACUAUAUGGAAUACAGAUAGGGAAAAUUGAUGAGAGAACGGAAUGGGAGGAUUAGCUUGUCACUCUUGUUUGGUUAAAAAAUGGAAUAGAAGGAAGGAGGCACAUUUAAGUUUAUUUUAAAAUCAUAUUCAUGUACCAAAGAAAAGUGAAAUAAGGACGAGGAAGGAUUCCAAGAUCUUACCAAGUUGGAGGGUUUAAAAAAUGGGGGACUAUGGUGGGUUGGGGAAGGAUACAUCUCUCCCACCAUUUCAGUGUCCUCCAUUAUUCACUUUCCAAAACAAGGGAGUUGGUGCCCUUUCUUGCAAUAUGCAUACCAAUAAUUUUUCAGUCAUUAAGUACAAUUUUUUGUCAUCGUGUGCUCCAAGGAAAAAGGAGUAGAUUUUGAAGAGCAUAUCUAGCAAAACAAAUCUAAUUACCUUAAUAAAAUAUCAGUUCGUUCUUUGUUACUUUUGUUUAUGAAAUUUGGUUCUCUUUGGAUUAUCUCCAAUGGAUGGAACACACUAUUUAUUUAUCCAUUUUAUGUCAAGUUGUGUUGGCUAGUUUUGAGUUUGUCUUUCUUAUCAUUAUUUUUGUAAUCGCUAGAAAUUACAGUAACACGCGUUACUCAACGAUUUUCUGAACAUGUUUAAUUAUUUAGAGGUCUCUCCAGGAUUUAAGUGAUCCUUUAUCUUGAUCUGAAUUUGAUGCCACAGGAACGAGUCGCUUUUUUCUUUCGAUUUUGUUACUUAUUAUUCUAAAUUUUUUUGUCUGCAUAUGUUAGUGAUUUUUCUCUACAUUGAUUAUCUAAUAAUAUUAAUGUGUUGAACCUGGCCGUUAAUAUCUAAAGGUCGCCCUUUUGUUUUUCAGUAAUGGAGAAAAACUUGCCUUCUUUUGAGCUUAGUCUUGAGGAAAGAGAAGCAGCUUACUUAGCUGCUCGAGAACGGAUUUUUGCAAUGGAUGUUGGAGAGGUUCGAGAACCUGUUAAGCAUAAGCCACGAACUGUUCCUAUUGUAGCUCGUCGAAUGAUUGCACAUGCUUUAGGCCAAAGAAUUAACUUAUGUAAUCUAGACGAUAGUGCCCGGGAUUUGAAAGACCGGGGGAAAACUGAUGAACCAAGUGUUCAUGAUACAGAUAAAGUUGAUAAUAAUUCGAGAACAGAAACUCAUCAGGAUGCUGUUCUUGAACAGAGGAAACCGGUGGAUGCAUGUAGUAAAGCAAAUAGCAACACAAGUAAACAUAAUACUUCGGUAGUUUGUGAGAGGAAUGUUUCUGAUGAACAAACCGAAAAGCGACCAACCAAUGCUAGUAUACCAGGUAGAAGUCGAAAUAGAGUUAACAAAGAGUACUCUAAAGAAGAACAUCUAGGAGCUGCAAAGCGAAUGUUUGCUAAUGCUUUAGGUUUGCGCUCAGCUACGGAUUCGAGAAGUAGUGAAAGGAAGACAACACAGUAGAUAAGGAGCUGUUAUGGUUUUUCCUAUCGGUUUAAAGAUAGAGCUCCAUUCGAGGAGAAAACAGGUAAUGUGAGUUUAGCUUGAUUGCUGCUUGCUUGCGUUUUUUCGUAAUUUGUAAUUGGUGACAUUAUCGUCUUCUAAGUAUUUCCACUUAGAACUGAUGAAAUUCUGGAAAACGGGUUUGCAUCUAACCCGAGUUUCGAGCUUUGGUUUUCAUGGAACAGAAGACACAUCUAAGUUUUUGCGGGGAGUGAGUCAUAUUUGCAGGUGCAAAAGAGCAUUUAACUUUCUCCCAUGUAUGAUAUCUGUAUUGUGUUAUGAUUCUUGCUUGAGAGAUAGGUACGGUGAAGAAUGAUUUAUAGGAGUAGACAUGACAAUUGUGUAUUUGUUUCGUGUUUGUGUAUUUUCUUGUGUCAUAAUCUUGUAGGUAUUUUAUAUUUAUAUGAUUUUUGAGGUACUAAUAAUUUGCAUAAUAUAGAUUUUGACAUUUUUGUAUAUUCAUCUUCUUUUCAUGCUGUUUUCGGUUCAUAUUUUAGCUAUUUUUCUCAUGACUGCAUGGUUUUGGUUCUUGUUAUAACCCUAUUAGCUGAUUUUAUUGAUUUAUUUUAUAAUUAAUCUAAUUUUUUAUGAUGUAAAAACAAAUAUUUUAUAUUUAAGAUAAUGAAAAUAAAAUUAAAAUAACACAAAUUUUAUAUAAAAAUGUUUUUUUAAGAGUUAAUUGAUUAUUUUUUAUUUAGUUCGAAAAUUAUUAGUUUUAAAAAUAUUUAUUAAAAAAACUUUGAAGCUUCAUCAAAUAAAGUCCAAAAAUCAUAAAAACAAAAUUGAUUUUGUCAAAAUAAAAUUAACAUGAAAAAAUUAAAAACUGAAUCAAAUUAUAAUAGACAACUCAAAAUAUCCAAAAACCCCGUUCAAAUCGAACCGAACUCAGCCUAAUAUAAACAUGAUUAAUAUGUCUAAUCCACAUCUUAUUUUUGUUUAAAAAUAAUUAUACAAAACAUUACAAAUGUGAAUUGUCAAGUGUAACAACAAACACAGGUUAAAUGAAAUCAACAAAUAUGAAAAUGAAAAUUUCCUUAUGAAAGUGAUUAGCUCUCUCUUGCAAUCUCCUGGUUCAUGCUAUAUGCUAUCUUACAACACAAAACCUUGGUAUUCAUGGUUACAUAGGAUAACAGAGCCUUGAGCUCCAUCACGAAAUCGAUGUACAACAGCAUAUUUUUGCUUGCUUCAUAAACCAAUCACACCAGAAAGAAACUUUCAAUCCCGACAGUGGUGUGGAGUAGGUACACAGUUGAGCCGGAAGAGGGAUGGAACAUAAAGGACUAGACACGUUUUUCUUUGUACAAAGAAUACCAAGGAUAGGAAAACGAAUAACACAAACCUGUUGAAUGCCGGCUCCUAAAGGUGACUGUGUGAAUCAACAGGACUAAACUUAAAACACCCUUUUUUGCUUGCUUCCGGAAAAGGUCUGAAAAGACCCCAGGAAAAUCUAGGGAUACAAGGAGAGAACAUUUGAUUGAAUAAAUUCAGCAAUGUUAUGUUUGCCUUUCUGUUGUUGGAGAUGGGGACUUAGCGGCUAAAUCGCGAAGCAAAGACUGGGUGGCUACGAACUUCUCUCUCAGCAUGACAUUAUAGUCAUAUAAACGUUGGAAAUUCUUCUGUAUAUCAGACAACUCGAUCUCCGAACCGGACUUCAAUUCUGCAUUGAGCAAGGAACAGGACUGAAAUGAGUGACUUCAACAUAAAACAUGUCAGCUAAAUAAAAUAACUAUCAAGGGUUUUCGAAGAACACAAAGGCAUACAGUUUCAGUUCAUCACACGAAAGGUCUAGUUCAUUUCAAAGAACAUUACUUUGACAUUAACUAUACUACUCCGACUCUUUUAGUUUCAUUUAAGCACUCGUCUAUGACACAUACCCAAGUACGAUUAUGGAGAUAUGACCCUCUCAAUACGUGAAAAACUUUGAAAAAUUCGAACAUACUCAUAUCAAGCACAUAUCCGAAUUCAACACCCAAACCUAAAUCGGAGUAACAUAGACGAUAAAAGUGCCAUGAUAAUGGGCCAACAUUGUUAGUUUAACUGAGAGGUCACUCUAUUAUAGGGACCUGAUCAAAUUAGUCCCUCUACUGUUAAAAAGAAUCAAAUAAGACCAAAUCGGAAUAGAGUAUUUUUAAAGUUUUUAUGGUUCUAUAAAUGAAAUAUUUUCUUUGGAAUUGAAUUGCAAUUGAAAAAAUAUAUAAUUUUCAAGACCUUUUUUAUACAAUAAAUGUUAACUCUCUUACAAUUUGGGCUUAUUUAAUUAUUUUUAAUAGUAUAAAGACUGAAUUGAUUUAUUUAAUAGAGGGAAUAAUUUGAUCCGGUCCCUAUGACCUCCCAGGUACUUUAACCUUCAACAUAUAGUAAGAAAUCAUCUUGAUGUAUUAAUUAUAGUUACGAGUUUACACGACAAUCUUUAAACAAUAAAGCAGUGAUUCAAAAAGCAUAUCCCCCUAGCCCUCCACGACUUUUUUUCCUUCCCGGCAUAGUGGAAAGUAUAAUUCCAAGUAUGACUUGAAAAAAAAUCAACUCCAAUUAUGUCUUUUCAUGCAACAUGUGAUGAUAAUGAUAAUAAUCGUAAUAGCUAAGUUCGUACCUAGUGUCGGAGGCGGUGGAAUUAUAUCAUCAUCGAGAGCAAAUGCUUGAUGCUGGAUAGCAACUGCAUCUUUUGAACCGAUGCAAUGUUUCGUCUCAGCCUUAGCUGAUCCACGUGUAUUGUGUUUGAGGGCCUGCAUAUAACAUUCAAGGAAAACUUGCGAUUAGAAACCUAUAGAUCCAAAAGUUCGAGACAGAAUUACUAAUGGUUUUUACCCAAGGAAAUAUCAAACCCUGAUACUCGGUUACAGGUAUGUUCAAUUUUUUCUAGGUUUUUUCCGGUAAAAGGAUUUCUCCAGUCCCUCUCAAUUUCGAAAUUGAACAAACUGGUCACUCUAAAAAACCUAGAGCAAUUUAAUCCUGUCAAUUCAAAAGUGAGCAACUACAGACAAUUAAUCACGAUAUGUUAAUGUUUUCCAUUAAUUGUACAUGAUUUUGACUGGUAUAAUAAUAAAUUUAGACCUCAAACUUUACACAUUCUGCCAAUUUGAUCCUAAUUUAACAAAUUUAUCUUGCAACAUUUGCGUAAAUGUUAAGGCUGAAUUUGUUCAAUUUUUUAAAAUUAAGCUCAAAAUGACAAAAUAUGUAAACAUCGAAGGAUAAAUUUGUAACUAUACCAAUCAAAACUAUGUACAAUUGACGGGAAAUAGUAACAUCGUGAUUAAUUGUCCUUAGUUGCUCACUUUCAAAAUUGGCAAGGAUUAAAUUGCUCCAAUUUUUUUGAAAGGGACCAAUUUGCUCAAUUUCAAAACUGAGAGGGACUGGAAAGGUCUUUUUACCGUUUCCUUUUCAGAUAUAUUUGGAGGAUCAUUGGAUACUCGACUCAUGUUAGUACUUCAGUUUGGACAACCAACACAGUUUUAGGUAAAACUACAUUACUUGGCCAUUGAUAACAGUCAUAUUACCAAGUACAGGUAACUCGAUUCUGCAGACAUGUCAAAACAAUUUGCAUACUGGACUCACUUAAGAAUGACUAGUAACUAAAAUAAAUUGCAGACAUGUCAAACAAGAUCCCUCGAGUGUUAACAACGAUAUUGAUAGAAUCUACCUUUUCACUGGAGACUUGCUUGUGAAAACUUAAUUCUGUCUCACGUAGCUGCUUUCGCUUCCUCGAUGACCCACCCCCACGAACAGAUCCAUUACCAGGGCCCAAUGGAAGUUGGAAACAACCAUGACCAGGUUCUGCUUUAGAGUGGUUGUCAACAUCCAAUGCGCUGCAAUUCCACGUGUACAUGACGUAUUUUCUCACCUGGUAAAGAAAAGCACAUUAGUGUACUGCAACUGUACUAAAGGACUAAAUCAGAGAGAAAUACUUGAAUUGAUUAAAAAAUAGGCUAUUAAAAAAUAGGCUAUUUGUUCUUAUGAGAAAGAAAUUACUUUAUCCCAGUGUUCUUGAGCUUUUCUUCUAUUUCUGAUCCUCCGUAAAAUGCUAUCUUCGUUGCGAAGCCGUUUUAUUCUGAACUCACACUACAAAGUACAUACCAAGCAGGUUAUAUACGAAAUGUCGAAUACUUCAAGCUCCGUUUUUUUUUUUUUUCGUCAUGAUUCACAAAUACUGAAUAUAAGCAUUUUUCAGUUCAUCGAAAAGAAGGGUAUUAAUAAAACGUAAUAUCAUCAGUUCUUGACAAUAGAAGGUCCUCGAUCAAUCUAUACUUGAAUCUUUAUAAUAUAUCCGGAAAAUGAAGGGAGAACGUAUAAAGAAAGAAUGAAACGAUAAGCUCAUGAGGGACGCAACUUACUUGCACCAAGAGAUAGAAAAAUAUCCCCAUACUAAUGCAAUAUAACCCACCAAGAUCAGCAAGGAAACCCACUGCAAGUCGAAUAAAACAAUAUUGCAUUAAUACAAGGAACAGCAACCGAAAUUAAACAAAAUACGCACAGGCAAGGAAAAUUACUCACCAGCACCUAUUAUAUUUUGAUUUUCGGUCUCAAUGAUGUAGGAAGAAAGAUAGUUGACAUAUAAUGUAGUGUUGAUUAGUCCAUCAUUAGCAUUCUCGAGUGAGGCUCGGAGCUGAGAAGUGUCACGCAAAGACGACCCGGGGACGAAUUCAUGAAAGAGAGGUUGAAUUAGCCUCAGAUUUUUUGCACUGCGGUAUAUACGGGGAAAUAAAUUGAAUAUCAAUAUGUUUGUGUCUGUCCCUCUGAAUGUAACCGGGCUAUUAUCAAAGUUGCUACCAUUCAUCAAUGUUCCACUAACGAAACUCACAUGAUCUCUCCUAAUAUGAUCUUUCGCAGUUACAUUGAACUGAAAACCUACAGCACUUGCAGGGCUGUUCGGAAGAUCGACAAAUUGCCAUGAAAUGGACAUAAAAUCUUGAUUGAGUCGACAAUUGCUGCACUUGAGAGUUAUAGUUGGCCCUAAACUUGUAUUAUGACAUGAAACAUUGAGAAUAUCCGAAAUAGGGAGAACUUUGUCUUCAAGGAAACCGGAACUUCCGGAAAGUAAAGUAGUAGGAGUCCGUAAAUUCGAGCAACUCAUACUAGAAACAGCGGUCAUGUUAAAUUCAACGUCAUUCCUGAAGGAAGCUAGGUCAGGUGCAUUUGUCGCUAUCACGUUAUGUACUUCAAUGGUUCUCUUUGCGAUGAGCUGGUAAAGCAACCUAAGAUAAAUCAUGAAGACGAGGAGGAAAACGUAAAUCAAUGUGUAUUCAUAUGUCAAAAGGGUUUAAGAAACAUCCAUAAGAAUUCGAAAAUCAAAUGCUUGCUUCGAGAACAUUAUCCUCACUCACGCAGCAAACAGCCCAGUGAAAAGUAUCCAACUAGCAAUCGAGAAAGUUCCACCGAGUUCUGUUUUCCGUUUCACAACCAAUUUUUGAUCAUCCUAAAUAACAAAGGAUACAAGUCAAAGUUUAUCAGGUUUAUACAUCAAGAAAACAUGUUUAACAUACUUUUAUUCUAGUUCCCAAAAUCAUAAUUGUAAUCAUUCCUUAGACAUACGAAUUUCAAUUUCUUUCAACCUUCCUAAGUAAGAUCCAAAUGACCGGUUUCAACAAUAAGACACCCGAAUCCAAGCAUGCAAAAGUUAAAUACAUCUCAAUAAAACACAUUAUCAAGGACUUCUUGAUUAGCUAACAUAAACCAAUACCUAGGUCACUCCAAACUUUUCAAGACAAUCUAAAUCUAAACUCGAGCACGCUAUCAUCCUAUACAUCUAUGUUGCUCUGACUCUUCAUUUUGCUUGAAAUACCACAGCACAUAUUUGAACAUGGAUAUGAAAUAUGACCUUCUAAAGGUCCUUCAAAUAUAUGAAAAACAUUGAAUAAAAAACUAAAUAUACCCAUAUCAGAUACAUGUCCUAUCGGACACUUACAUAGCUUACAAAAACACAUUAACAAGGACUUCUUAAUUAGCUAACAAAAAUCAAUCCCUAGGUCACCCCAAAAUUUUCAAAGCACUCCAAAAUCUCAACCAUCAUCCUAUAUAUCUAUGUCGCUCAGACUCUUCAUUUUACUUGAAAUAUCCUGCACAUUUUUCGAAAAUGACCUCCCAAAGAUCCUCCAAAUACACUAAAUAUACCCGUAUUGGAUACAUACCUAUCGGACACUUACACCCGAGUCCAAAAUAAUCCAAAUAACAUAUCUAUACAUACUUGUUGACUGCAAAAAAGAAAUCCCACUUAGGAAAAACACAUAUAAAUCCAUUUGGCCCCCUUAAAGUGGAAAAUUUGUGCUUUAGUCCCUCCAAAUGUAUAAAAUCCUAAAUGAAUAUAUGUUAAAAUUGUAGUUUGGCACAAAAAAUGCUAGAAUUUCAAUUUAGUCCAUCUAGAAACCAUAAAGAUAUAAGCCAAUACAACAUUGAAAUUGCAUUUGGAGCAUUUAAAAAUGCCUCAAGUUCGAAUCCUAGAAAGGCAAGAUGCCCUUUUUUUUUUAACUUUCUAGUACAUUAAAAAGAAUUCAUUACUGUAAGAAGAUUAAAAGAAGGGGACUAACCAGCCAAUGCCUAGUAGCAAAGCAAACAUCCAAACGACUAAUCCACCACCUAAUCUUAAACCAAACAUUUCUUCCAUCACCAAGCUUCAUAAACCUCAAAAAGAAGCAAAAAACAAGCCAAGAAAGCAACAUCACAAGCGUAGCUUCCAAGAAAACAGCUUGGGAUUGAGUAAACUUCUUGAUUGAAUCAAAUGACAAAAUGUUCUUUGGAAUCGAAAUAGCAUAAUAAUCAAUCCCAGAAUCAGUUUUAAUAGCUGAAUUCCCAGCAUAAGUAAUACAACUGUUGGCAGCAACAUUGAGAAAACGACCAAUUUGACAAGCACAACGGGUACCGUUGUACAAGAUUGAGUUUUGAGGACAACUAGCCAUUUUUUGUUUCAAAAUAGCAUGGUUGGGAUUGGUUUUCGAAAUGGGUUAUUUGAAAUGGGUUAUUUUCAAUGGGACCUUCAAAGUUUUUUGUUUGGGGUUUUUGUGACAAAGAUUUGGGGCAAAGGACUUGGUCUGAAAGGGGAAGGUGUUAGAAAACGUAUGAGUUUGGGGCUCUGGUUUUUCAGUUAAAAGAGAAUCAAAGUUGGAAACUUGGAAGGGAAGAGAAAGGGAAAAAGAAACGAAUGUUUGAGACCCAUCUCCAUGUCCAUGUGAAUAUGUGACCAAAGAUCCACAGGAAUAAAGAAAAAGCUUCUUCUUUUUCUUUUAUAUGAAUAUAUGAUUUUUAUAUAUAUAAAUGGAAAAACUACCAAGGAGACGCCUGUAUUAGUCAGAAAAUGAGUAAAUUAGUCUAUCUCUGUUAAAUCAAAGAACAAAUUCAUUUUCUAUGUUGAAAUUUUCAUCAACUUAUACUGUUCAAAAUUGGCUUGCCGACUGAAUAACCAGAUAGUAGGAAUGAAUGAAAUUUUUGAUAAAAGAAUCAAUUUAUUCUUUAAUUUAAUAAUAGAAAUUAAUUUAUUUUUUUUAAUAAAUAGGAUUAAAUAUAAUCUAACUCUUAAUAGAAUAGCCUCCAUAGUACUUUUACCAUAAAUAUUAAAAAAUAUAUAGAAUAUAUAUAGUUUAUUUUCCUUUUAUAAAAGAUACCAUAUUUCCAGUAUUUUGCUUUAACUUUCCUUUUAUAAAAAAAAAAAGAAAGUGGAGCACGUUGAAUUAUUUCCAAUUUGUGUAUUUAGGACGGCUGGGUGAGAAAAAAUCGAUUUUCAGUGUAAUAUUUGAUUUGAUUAUUACUCAAAGGGUUAAUAUAUAAUGGUGAAUGUAUUUGAGAGGUGCUUUAUUAUAGAGAUUUAAUCAAAUUAGUCUAUUUAUUAUUAAAUGGUUUAAUUUAAUCCUUAUACUGUUAAAAAGAUUCAAAUAAUAUCAAAUUAAAAUAGAGUUAAUAGUUACUAUUUAAAAAAAUCAUUUAUUUUUUAAUAAAAUUAAUAUUUUUAUUUUUUUAUGGUUCUUUAAAUGAAAUAUUCUGUUUGAAAUUAAAUUACAAAUAAGAAAAAUAAUUUUCAAGACAUUUUUAUACAGUAAAUAUUAAUUUUAUUACAAUUUAAACUUAGUUGAUUCUUUUUAAUAAUAUAGAAAAUAAUUUGAUCUAGUCUCUAUAUAGGGACCUCAGGUAUUUUAACCCUUAUAUUUCCAAUAUUUAGCUUGCUUUAUUUCUCCUUCUAUACAAAAAGUGAAACACGUUGAAUUAGAUCCUAUUUGACUAUUUGGUACGGCUGAGUAAGUAAUGGAUUUCGAAUUGGUGAAAUGAGUCAAAAUCACCUGUUGGUUUAGAAUAAAUAUAUUUAAAAAAUUAUAAAAAUAUGUUGUUCGAAAAUUUUAACCAGAUUCGAUCAGCACAUAUUUAUUUACGAAUCAAUUGAUUUUAUAUCUCUCAUCAAAUCGAUUCUUAAAUCUGACGAGUUAAAUUUAAACUAUAUCAUAAAUAAAAUGAGAAACCAAUUUAAAUAGCAAUAUUUGAAUCGGUUUUAUUAAUUUCAAUUCAAUUAUUUGAUUAAUUAUUCUAACGGAAAGGAAUAUUUUAGAUUUAAAUUAAUAAAAUUAAUAUUUAUAAAACUAAUCAGAAAAGUCUUCUUUCUUUCGUUUUAUAUAUGUGUUCUUUAGUAUAUAUACUUUAUUUUACUUUUAUAAAAGGUAAAAGUAUUAAAAAAAAGUCCCUGUAUUUAGGGACAAUUUGUAUUUUGAUUUUUUAUUAAAAAUAAAUAAAUCAAUCCUUGUACAAAUUAAUUCCUCAAUUAAAUUAUCUCUUAUAUUUAUAAAAGAAUAUACAAUUAGAUGUCAUAAUAUUUGUAUAAACUUUAAUAAUUUAUAUAAGUAUGUAUUUUAAUAUUAUAUUAAUCAUGUUUAAAAUGUUUAUUAUUCGUAUAAUUUUUUAAAAAAAUUUGUAUUUAUUUUCUAUAUUUGUAUGUAUGAGUGCAACACAUAGAGUUUGGGGGCCACGUUACAAGACUGUAAAUUCAAUGAAAACUGUUCAACGGUCGAGAAUGAGCCAAAAUACUCUGCAUUUUUUUUGGUUUUUUCUUUUGUCAUUUUAUUUAGUUUUUCAAUAAAAAAGGUAUUGAAUCGAAUAUUAACUUUUAACGAAAAAGAAUAUUAAUCAUUUUUUUCAGUGGUUCAAUAAUUGGAUUGACUUUAGUAAAGAAAUUUAAUUUAAACAAAAUAUUAUAUGUAUUAAAUGAUUAUUAAAAGAAAUAUAAUCAAAUACUCAUUGAUUGAAUCUGUAUUUUAUCAAUUGAUUAAAUAUUUAAACGAGAAAUAAUGAAAAUUAAAAAUCAAAACUAAGCUCCAUAUCAAAUUUUUAAAAUUGAAUUGGUGGUCUCGAUUUCUAGUUUAACUUAUCCAACCAACUCAUCCAUUAAAGAUUUAUAAAAAACUAUUAAAAUAUUUAAACAAUAAUUUAAAGCCGUAGGAUGUACCCAGAAAGCCAGAUGUAGGAUAAUGCAGAAAACUUUUGAAUUAAAUAUUUUAUUUCCAUAACACACUGAAUGAAAUAAUGUUACACUUCUAGAGUUGAUUAAAUACUCGCUAGUAUCUGGAUAUGAUACAGUUCAAAUACUGAUUAACACAUUAUAUAUAUAUAUGACCGAAAAGGGGGAGAAAUAUGAGUACAGUAUAAAAUCUCGAUGCCGGAAACUCCGAACAUAUGCAGAAAACGGUACCCUACAUUUCGAUGUCUUCCAGAUCCGGAAGAGGGAAACGAAGGAUUGCCGCAAUGCCGGUCAGCUGUGCCAGUUCUGAAUAUGGAUGUGAAAAUGAGUGUAACGGAAUUCGGAAAAAUUAUAAAAAGAAAAGACCAAAUGCAGCAAACGAAUACUCACGUUCCCCUGAUACGUGCAUAGACGAAAAAAUGUGAGCAGUGCCCCCCGAAUUCUUAACAGAGUUCACCAAACCGACAUACUUUUGCCUCGUAAUUACAUCCGAAUUCCUGCAUGCGAAGUCAGCAAUUAAAUGACAAUAAGCUAUAUGAAAGAAAGAAGGCCGACCCCGAGAAUGAUACAAAAUAGUGAACACCAACACCCCAAACCCUCUAAUGUCAGUAAUAGAUUUGGCAAUCCAUUUAUGCAUGUCGUGUUUUUUGUUUUUCCUUUUACUGUGUCACUGUGUAAAUAUAACAUGGUCAAAAUCCUAAAAUAGGACCACGAUGCGUGUACUAAGUGACUUAUUCGUUCCGAGGUUCUACGUAUUCAUGCAUAAAGACAUAUUGCUACAGCAAGCAGAUAAAUUUGAAUUGUACAGCAAUUUUUGUGUGCUUUCCAUCAAUCUCACUGUCAAAUCCAGAGAAUAUCAGCAGAAUAACAGCAGGAAACGGAAAAACAAUUAUGUGCUACUAAAUUCUCAUUCAAUCUAAACAACUGUCCAAACAUAUUGAGUUGAUCAUAUGAUAUACCAACCUGAAGAGAUCGUCGGUAAUAAGAAGUGUUUGAACUGCCAUUCGCUCAUGGGCAACCUCCACAUGUUUUGGUCCGUAGCAUGCACGUGCCGGAUCCUUUAUGAUAAAACCAAAGCAACUAUAAGAUAAGAACAUAGCCAAAUAGAAGACAACUAAGUUCUAAAACAAGCAAUCGAGCCAUUGUUUAUCCAGCCAAGACUCCAGUUCCCUCAGCCACUUCCUCAACUAAUUAAUAUGGGCACACACAUUCUGUACAUAUACAUCCAUGUGCAUGUGUGCACAUGCAUAUACUCGUGUCUGUGAGAGAAGUCAUUUUUUGGUAACUAUUCAUGACACCAUGAACAUCAAUUCUGACACAUUCAUUUUGUGCAGCAUCUUCAUUCGGAAUCAUGUCCUUUCGUUUGUAAUGUUUUAAAGUGUAAUAAAAUACUUAAUAUUCACUUCUAAUUAAUCAACUAAAAACAUUGUAUAUAUUGUUUGGCCAGCCAGAUCAUUAACCCAAACUACUUAAUUACCAUGAAAAGGUCAAAACACAAUUAACCUAUAGCCCAUAGCUAAGUCACUCUAGUCAUUGUUAUUGGGCUCUGUUUCAUAACCUUCACUUUCACCAUAUAUUAAAAGAUAAACCACAUUUCGACUUUCAUUCUCUUAAUGCAAGUAAGAACAUAUUAACAAAAAUGAAAGUAUCAUUAAGUCAUUCUAUACAUGGAAUACAACCAAAAAAUAGUGUAGAAACACUAAGUUUGAACCUUACAUUUGAAAGCAUGUUGAAGAAAUCCUUGAGAGCUCGGACCUGGUAAAAUUAGGGAAACAAAGCAUAAAAAGCUGUUAUGAGAAGAAAUAAAUAAAAACAAGUAACAACCAAUGAAUAAAAAAAUAAAAUUCUUAGCCUGGUAUGGUUUCUAUAAUACCUCUUGCGCUGCUUUGGUGUCUUUUAUCAUGCUCAUAACAUUUGGGGCAUCCAAGACUUCUUUCAAACUAUGCCUGCAUUAUAGUCAAGUUACACUAAGAUCCAUAUUUCAUAUUUGUACUAAAGCUCUGAAAUAAAAUAGCAUCAGUUAGAAAAUUUAUAAGGGCAUCUGAAUUCACUAAGGAAUAUAGGUAAGACAAAUGAAGCCAUCAACUUUUACACUCCUGUUACCAGAUCGAAGCAUUUCAGAAUCCCCAUAUUUUAUUGAAGAUCACAAAGUAGGUGAACAUCGUUCUAUAGAGUUCUUAAUGUGUAGACUAGUAUAUUCUAAUGCCAGAUUUUUCAAAAUAGAUACUGAAUGCAAUGUAAGUAAGUAGGGAAGCAAAGAACAUAAUGUGGUUCACUAAGAAUGUACAAGGAAAUUCUCGAGACACAGAAUAUAGAUGUCCCGAAAUAAUGGAACUGUUAAUAUAUCACAUCGAGCCCCUAGAUAAACGUAUUUUAGAUGCAAGGCAAAUUUACAUUGCCCAUUACAGUUAGCAGAGUAAAAGCUGAAGCAGAAAGCAAACUUACUUAUAUCCGGAGCUAGUAUGUACAAGAAUUAUUCGCGACUUAUUCUCAAUAAUUGGCCUCAAUUGUCUUCUUUCUGCCUCCAACAUAAGAUGACGAUGGAACUGGUCCUGAAACAUAUAAAGAAAUAAAAAAGAUAAUAAAGCCAAAUGUAACACAUGUUUAAACAGAAAAUUGCUGUAAAAUGUCUUUCCAUGAGUUAUUGCCUAAGGAAAAUUGAAGUAAACGAAGAAUCAAGGCAAUUAGAAAGGAAAUGAGUUAAAAGGCUUUGUCUCAGACCUUUGUGAAGCCAGGACUAGCAAUAACAGCACAGCGAACAACAUUGAAAUCAACAUGUUUGAGGAAAGCCUAUCAAAGAUGCACAAAAACAACUUAGAAAUAAAAUAAAUGCACUUAAAAUCAUAUAAAACAGUGACAUUACAAUUCAAGUAUAACUGACCUGUAGAACAUUCUCAAAGAACUUCUUCAAAGCCUGUAGAAUGUUAAAAAGAAACCAAUAAGUACACAAAGUAACAAGGUAGAGAACAAAACCCAAUUCUGACUACAUGAUCUCAAAGGUACAGGGCUUUCUAAAUCAGAAACAAAUUCCAAACGUAUAAGAAUAAUUUUUUUUUAAAAUACAUACCGAUUCAUAACCAGCAAUGGCAGGUCCAUGCUUACGAGGAAUUGAAGUUUCAAUCCGUGAACGGGUACUUGUCAUACUAUUGUACAGAUCACAAUGGUAGUAAGUUAAAAAUCUUGUACACCAUUAAAUACUAAAGAAAUUAACAUUCGAAAGUCAAAUAUGCAAGUAGCAGACAGGAACUGGAUCAAGCAGACAUGGUGGUGUAACAGCAUCUUCUCAUGAGUAAUACUUUGAAAAGGAUGAUUUAAAAUGAAGGUUCAUGUGCUUCCUAAAUGCAACCUAUGAUUUCAUUCCAAACAAAAAAAAUUGCAACUGAUGAAUUCUACUUCAGAAAGGACUGGCACUUGCUCCCAACACUCUUAUACACUUGCCCAAAAUCUUUUCCUGACAAUUUACGUCAAUACUUAACAAAAGUUUAAGAAACAAAAAUACAACCCCGUCUUUUCUAGAAAGAAAUGCUACAAAGAGGACUACUACAAACCAGAAGAGAUACUCAAGUUACAAAGUGGAAUACUUUAGCAUCCUUAUCACCAAAAAACUGAAACACCACAAAUCAUCCCAUAGAUGUCAAACGCCUUUAUUAAAUGAUUUUUUGAACUCCACAUCUUAGAUUUCUAGGGAUGUCAGGCACCCAACAAAGUAAAGGAUAAUCUCCCAA
rnacentral:lncRNA from 1 species